rnacentral:rRNA from 1 species
UACGAGAGGCCCAAACGUUAUUCGGAAUUACCGGGCUUAAAGAGUCCGUAGGCGGCGCGGAAAGUGGGGUGUGAAAGCCCUCGGCUCAACCGAGGAAUUGCGCUCCAAACUACCGUGCUUGAGGAACCUAGAGGUGAGCAGAACUGAUGGUGGAGCGGUGAAAUGCGUUGAUAUCAUCAGGAAUACCGGAGGCGAAGGCGGCUCACUGGGGGUUUUCUGACGCUGAGGGACGAAAGCCAGGGUAGCGAACGGG